rnacentral:ncRNA from 1 species
UUGUAUGUGCGGUAGAGGAGCGUUCUGUAAGCGGUUGAAGGUGAAGGGGUAACCCACACUGGACGUAUCAGAAGUGCGAAUGUUGACAUGAGUAACGAUAAUGGGGGUGAAAAACCUCCACGCCGAAAGACCAAGGGUUCCUGUCCAACGUUAAUCGGGGCAGGGUGAGUCGACCCCUAAGGCGAGGCUGAAAGGCGUAGUCGAUGGGAAACGGGUUAAUAUUCCCGUACUUCUGCUAACUGCGAUGGAGAGACGGAGAAGGCUAGGCCAGCGCGGCGUUGGUAGUCCGCGUUUAAGGUAGUAGGUGUUGUGCUUAGGCAAAUCCGGGCACAUUUACACUGAGAGCUGAUGACGAGUCACUAAGGUGAUGAAGUGGUUGAUGCCAUGCUUCCAGGAAAAUCUUCUAAGCUUCAGGUUAGUAGGAAUCGUACCCCAAACCGACACAGGUGGUCGGGUAGAGAAUACCAAGGCGCUUGAGAGAACUCGGCUGAAGGAACUAGGCAAAAUGGUACCGUAACUUCGGGAGAAGGUACGCUGCCGGCGGUGAAGGACUUGCUCCGUAAGCUGCUGGCAGUCGCAGAUACCAGGUGGCUGCAACUGUUUAUCAAAAACACAGCACUGUGCGAACUCGCAAGAGGAAGUAUACGGUGUGACGCCUGCCCGGUGCCGGAAGGUUAAUUGAUUGGGUUAUCUUCGGAGAAGCUCAUGAUCGAAGCCCCGGUAAACGGCGGCCGUAACUAUAACGGUCCUAAGGUAGCGAAAUUCCUUGUCGGGUAAGUUCCGACCUGCACGAAUGGCGUAAUGAUGGCCACGCUGUCUCCAGCCGAGACUCAGUGAAGUUGAAAUUGCGGUGAAGAUGCCGUAUACCCGCGGCUAGACGGAAAGACCCCGUGAACCUUUACUAUAGCUUGGCACUGAACAUUGACCCUGCAUGUGUAGGAUAGGUGGGAGACUUUGAAGUUGGGACGCCAGUCCUGAUGGAGUCAACCUUGAAAUACCACCCUUGCAGUGUUGGUGUUCUAACCUUGGUCCCUUAUCGGGAUUAGGGACAGUGCCUGGUGGGUAGUUUGACUGGGGCGGUCUCCUCCUAAAGAGUAACGGAGGAGCACGAAGGUUGGCUAAGUACGGUCGGACAUCGUACGGUUAGUGUAAUGGCACAAGCCAGCUUAACUGCGAGACAGACACGUCGAGCAGGUACGAAAGUAGGUCAUAGUGAUCCGGUGGUUCUGAAUGGAAGGGCCAUCGCUCAACGGAUAAAAGGUACUCCGGGGAUAACAGGCUGAU